ACAUUAAAAAUUGAGUAGGAUC
rnacentral:snRNA from 1 species